GAUGAAAACUGAAACAGCUGAACAGAGUUUACUAAAGGAAAAAUUGUAAAAGGGAAGCCAAUGGUAAUGCCAACAUCCAACUCCUCCAACUUUGUGAGAUUGCUUUGAAGCCCUUUGAUGUACUGUUGCAAACAAACUUCUGAUCUUGGUAGGUGCAUAUUGUAUUGUUCCUGGAGUCAUUAGCAAUUCAUUACUUCAUUGAUCAAAAUAAACCAUGGCAAAUACCCUUUUCACAAUACUAUUAGAUUUAUAUGUUUGUUUUUUUGAAUUUUGUCAAGCUUUACCUUGAUGCACAAAAGGCUACCAAAUAAUCUGAUGCAGAGCAAGUUAUGAUACUAACGCGGUCAUCAUAGGCAUAGCUUGAUGCUGCAGGGCAUACUUGUUUGAAACUCUUGGAAAAAUUUGUAGGCAAACAUGAGACAGGAU
rnacentral:lncRNA from 1 species